UCCUCUUUAUUGUAUUUUGGAGUUCAGGCCUAGCCCCCCUCCCUCUUUUAUAUAAUUUUGAUUUAUAUUAAUAAACUGAUAGGGUUCCAUGCCAAAUCCUCCACCAUUACAAGGUGGUUUUUACUUUUACAAAAAAAAAUUAAUAUCUCCUAUUUUUUUUUAUCUCCCAGGUCUCCAACUUAUUUUAUUUUAUAAAAAUUAUUUUUUUAAAUAAAGA
rnacentral:lncRNA from 1 species